rnacentral:rRNA from 1 species
AAACCUAGCCCAAUAAAUAUGAAUUUUAACAAAUUAAUUUUAUUCACUUUUAUAAACCAUUCUUUUUUUCUAGUAAAGGAGAUUGAAAAAUUUAUAGGAGCUAUAACAAUAGUACCGCAAGGGAACGGUGAAAUAUUUAAUGAAAAUCCUCAAGCAAUAAAAAGUAAAGACAACCCCUUGUACCUUUUGCAUCAUGGUUUAACUAGUUUAAUCAAGCAAAACGUACUUUAGUUUGACUUCCCGAAACUAAGUGAGCUACUUCAAGGCAGCUGAAUGAGCGAACCCAUCUCUGUUGCAAAAGAGUGGGAAGACCUUUAAGUAGCGGUGAUAGACCUAACGAACUUAGUGAUAGCUGGUUACUCAGGAAACGGAUUUAAGUCCAACCUAAAAUAUACCUAAUUAACUAAAAUAAAUUUAAUUUUUUAGCGUAAUUCAAAUAAGGUACAGCCUAUUUGAAACAGGACACAACCUACACUAAUGGAUAAGAUUAGCCUGCAAUACAAUCAAGUGGGCCUAAAAGCAGCCACCCUUAAAACAGCGUCAAAGCUUAAUUGUCCUCAUGCCUAAUUAUAUAAACCUCAUCUAAUCCUCUACUAAUACUGAGUAAUUCUAUAUUAUUAUAGAAAAUUUUAUGUUAAAACUAGUAACAAGAAGAAGAUUCUUCUCUUUUAUGUAAGUGUAAAUCAGAAAGGACAAACCACUGAUUCUUAACACCACUGAGCUUAAAGUAGUAACUAACCAAGAAAACCCUACUCACCCCCGAUGUUAACCUAACACAAGCACAUUUCAAGAAAGAUUAAAAGAAAAAGAAGGAACUCGGCAAAUCUUAGCCUCGCCUGUUUACCAAAAACAUCGCCUCUUGAAAACUAUAAGAGGUCCAGCCUGCCCAGUGACCCUGUUUAACGGCCGCGGUAUCCUAACCGUGCGAAGGUAGCGUAAUCACUUGUUCUUUAAUUGUGGACUAGUAUGAAUGGCACCACGAAGGCUAUACUGUCUCCUUUUUCUAAUCAGUGAAACUAAUCUCCCCGUGAAGAAGCGAGGAUAAUUAUAUAAGACGAGAAGACCCUAUGGAGCUUUAAACAAUAUAACAAUUAUUAAAUAGUAUUUAAGUUUCUGAGCCCAUAAAUCACCUAAAUAAUAUGUCUAUAAGUUUUUGGUUGGGGUGACCACGGAGCAUAACAAAACCUCCAUGCUGAAAGAAUUUUUAAGCUAAGAAUCACCUGUCUAAGCAUCAAUAUAUUGACAUCCAUUGACCCAAUACAUUUGAUCAACGAACCAAGUUACCCUAGGGAUAACAGCGCAAUCCACUUCAAGAGCUCAUAUCGACAAGUGGGUUUACGACCUCGAUGUUGGAUCAGGGUAUCCCAGUGGUGCAGCCGCUACUAAAGGUUCGUU